AGCUCAUCCAGAGGGGCAGAGGGAUCGGCCCGACGAAGCCCCGGCAACCAGCGUCGAAACCGCCAUCGCGUUCGUGGUGCGGGUCGACGAAAACGGUGCCAAUUCCGACCCGCCAGCGGGACAGAUGAGGG
rnacentral:ncRNA from 2 species